UACAGAGGGGGCAAGCGUUGUUCGGAAUUACUGGGCGUAAAGUGCGCGUAGGCGGCCUGCUAAGUCGAACGUGAAAUCCCUGGGCUCAACCCAGGAACUGCGUCCGAUACUGGUUGGCUUGAAUCCGGGAGAGGGAUGUGGAAUUCCAGGUGUAGCGGUGAAAUGCGUAGAUAUCUGGAGGAACACCGGUGGCGAAGGCGACAUCCUGGACCGGUAUUGACGCUGAGGCGCGAAAGCCAGGGGAGCAAACGGG
rnacentral:rRNA from 1 species